UAGCUCGAGUGGCGAACGGGUGAGUAACACGUGGGUGAUCUGCCCUGCACUUCGGGAUAAGCUUGGGAAACUGGGUCUAAUACCGGAUAGGACCAUCGUUUAGUGUCGGUGGUGGAAAGUUUUUUCGGUGUGGGAUGAGCUCGCGGCCUAUCAGCUUGUUGGUGGGGUAAUGGCCUACCAAGGCGUCGACGGGUAGCCGGCCUGAGAGGGUGUACGGCCACAUUGGGACUGAGAUACGGCCCAG
rnacentral:rRNA from 1 species